ACUCAAAUGAAUUGACGGGGACCCGCACAAGCGGUGGAGCGUGUUGUUUAAUUCGACGGUAAGCGAAGAACCUUACCAAGGUUUGACAUCCUACUAACUGCUUCGAAAGAAGCGGGUGUCUUCGGACAGGUAGUGACAGGUGCUGCAUGGCCGUCGUCAGCUCGUGUCGUGAGAUGUUUGGUUAAGUCCAUCAACGAGCGCAACCCUUAUAAGUAGUUGAAUUUUUCUACUCAGACUGCCCUGGCAACAGGGAGGAAGGAGGGGAUGAUGUCAGGUCAGUAUUGCCCUUACACCUUGGGCUACAAACACGCUACAAUGGCCAGUACAAAGGGCAGCCAACCCGCGAGGGGGAGCAAAUCCCAUCAAAGCUGGUCUCAGUUCGGAUUGCAGGCUGAAACUCGCCUGCAUGAAGCUGGAAUCGCUAGUAAACGUAGGUCAGCACACUACGUUGAAUACGUUCCCGGGUCUUGUACACACCGCCCGU
rnacentral:rRNA from 1 species